rnacentral:rRNA from 1 species
CGUUGAAGGGCUUCUGACGGAUGCCUUGGCGUAGAGAGGCGAUGAAGGACGUGGCAAGCUGCGAUAAGAACCGGGGAGGCGCUAGCACCCUUUGAUCCGGUUAUUUCCGAAUGGGGAAACCCACCUUUACAGUCUUCCAACUCUGCUUCGGUUUCGGCCGGAGCGGCGAUUGGCGGAUUGUUGAAAGGUAUAAUGAGCUGAAUACAUAGGCUUCAUUAAGCGAACCCGGGGAACUGAAACAUCUCAGUACCCGGAGGAAAGGACAUCAACCGAGACUCCCGUAGUAGUGGCGAGCGAACCGGGACCAGGCCAGUGCUCUUGUGAAAUAAAGACGAACGAUCUGGAAAGGUCGGCCAUAGUGGGUGAAAGCCCCGUAGUCAUCAAACAGCAAGAGACUCGAGUAGGGCGGGACACGUGAAAUCCUGUCUGAACAUGGGGGGACCACCCUCCAAGCCUAAGUACUCCUCUACGACCGAUAGUGAACAAGUACCGUGAGGGAAAGGUGAAAAGCACCCCGACAAGGGGAGUGAAACAGAUCCUGAAAUCGGAAGCCUACAAGCAGUCGGAGCCCCCAAGCGGGGUGACGGCGUACCUUUUGUAUAAUGGGUCAGCGACUUCAUGUGUCGAGCAAGCUUAAGCCGUUAGGUGUAGGCGCAGCGAAAGCGAGUCUGAAUAGGGCGCUAAGUUCGACGUAUGACGACCCGAAACCAGGUGAUCUAUCCAUGAGCAGGUUGAAGGUUGGGUAACACCAACUGGAGGACCGAACCCGUGAAUGUUGAAAAAUUCUGGGAUGACUUGUGGAUAGGGGUGAAAGGCCAAUCAAACCUGGACAUAGCUGGUUCUCCGCGAAAUCUAUUUAGGUAGAGCGUCCGACGAAUUCCUUGGGGGGUAGAGCACUGGAUGGUUGCGGGCUGCGCGAGCGGUACCAAUACUAACCAAACUCCGAAUACCCAAGAGAACUAUCGGGCAGACACACGGCGGGUGCUAACGUCCGUCGUGAAAAGGGAAACAACCCUAACCAUCAUCUAAGGCCCCCAAGUCACGGCUAAGUGGGAAACGAUGUGGGAUUGCUUUGACAAUCAGGAGGUUGGCUUAGAAGCAGCCAUCCUUUAAAGAAAGCGUAACAGCUCACUGAUCAAGCGAUCCUGCGCGGAAAAUGUAACGGGGCUCAAGCC